rnacentral:rRNA from 1 species
UGGGGAAUAUUGGACAAUGGGCGAAAGCCUGAUCCAGCAAUGCCGCGUGAGUGAUGAAGGCCUUAGGGUUGUAAAGCUCUUUCGGCGGGGACGAUAAUGACGGUACCCGCAGAAGAAGCCCCGGCUAACUUCGUGCCAGCAGCCGCGGUAAUACGAAGGGGGCUAGCGUUGUUCGGAAUUACUGGGCGUAAAGGGCGCGUAGGCGGUUCGUUUAGUCAGGCGUGAAAGCCCCAGGCUCAACCUGGGAAUUGCGCUUGAUACUGGCGAGCUCGAGUCCGGGAGAGGAUGGCGGAAUUCCCAGUGUAGAGGUGAAAUUCGUAGAUAUUGGGAAGAACACCGGUGGCGAAGGCGGCCAUCUGGACCGGUACUGACGCUGAGGCGCGAAAGCGUGGGGAGCAAACAGG